rnacentral:rRNA from 1 species
UACGUAGGUGGCGAGCGUUGUCCGGAAUUAUUGGGCGUAAAGGGAGCGCAGGCGGGAAGGUAAGUCUAUCUUAAAAGUGCGGGGCUCAACCCCGUGAGGGGAUAGAAACUAUCAUUCUUGAGUGCAGGAGAGGAAAGCGGAAUUCCUAGUGUAGCGGUGAAAUGCGUAGAUAUUAGGAGGAACACCAGUGGCGAAGGCGGCUUUCUGGACUGUAACUGACGCUGAGGCUCGAAAGCCAGGGGAGCGAACGGG